rnacentral:rRNA from 1 species
UACGGAGGGGGCAAGCGUUGUUCGGAAUUACUGGGCGUAAAGGGCUCGUAGGCGGCCAACUAAGUCGGAUGUGAAAUCCCCAGGCUUAACCUGGGAACUGCAUCCGAUACUGGAUGGCUUGAAUUCGGGAGAGGGAUGCAGAAUUCCAGGUGUAGCGGUGAAAUGCGUAGAUAUUGGGAGGAACACCAGUGGCGAAGGCGGCUCUCUGGACCGGUACUGACGCUGAGACGCGAAAGCCAGGGGAGCAAACGGG